AACACCGGUGGCGAAGGCGCGUCUCUGGACCGGUACUGACGCUUAGGCCCGAAAGCAGGGGGAGCAAACAGGAUUAGAUACCCUGGUAGUCCCUGCCGUAAACGAUGGGCACUAGGUGUGGGAGGCAUCGACCCCUUCUGUGCCGUACUAACGCAUUAAGUGCCCCGCCUGGGGAGUACGAGCGCAAGGUUGAAACUCAAAGGAAUUGACGGGGGCCCGCACAAGCGGUGGAGCAUGUGGUUUAAUUCGAUGCAACGCGAAGAACCUUACCGGGGUUUGACAUGUGCAGGAGCCAGGUGUGACGCAGGUGUGCCUUCGGGAGCUCUGAGACAGGUGCUGCAUGGCUGUCGUCAGCUCGUGUUGUGAAAUGUUGGGUUAAGUCCCGCAACGAGCGCAACCCUUAUCCUUGUUUGCCAGCGAGUAAUGUCGGGAACUCCAGGGAGACUGCCGGUGAUAAACCGGAGGAAGGUGGGGACGACGUCAAGUCAUCAUGGCCCUUACGAGUAGGGCUACACACGUGCUACAAUGGCGCAUACAGAGGGCAGCAAGCUAGCGAUAGUGAGCGAAUCCCAUAAAGUGCGUCGUAGUCCGGAUUGGAGUCUGCAACUCGACUCCAUGAAGUCGGAAUCGCUAGUAAUCGUGAAUCAGAGU
rnacentral:rRNA from 1 species